rnacentral:rRNA from 1 species
CUACGGGGGGCACCAGUGGGGAAUAUUGCACAAUGGGCGCAAGCCUGAUGCAGCCAUGCCGCGUGUAUGAAGAAGGCCUUCGGGUUGUAAAGUACUUUCAGCGGGGAGGAAGGGAGUAAAGUUAAUACCUUUGCUCAUUGACGUUACCCGCAGAAGAAGCACCGGCUAACUCCGUGCCAGCAGCCGCGGUAAUACGGAGGGUGCAAGCGUUAAUCGGAAUGACUGGGCGUAAAGCGCACGCAGGCGGUUUGUUAAGUCAGAUGUGAAAUCCCCGGGCUCAACCUGGGAACUGCAUCUGAUACUGGCAAGCUUGAGUCUCGUAGAGGGGGGUAGAAUUCCAGGUGUGGCGGUGAAAUGCGUAGAGAUCUGGAGGAAUACCGGUGGCGAAGGCGGCCCCCUGGACGAAGACUGACGCUCAGGUGCGAAAGCGUGGGGAGCAAACAGGAUUAGAUACCCUAGUAGUC